rnacentral:rRNA from 1 species
AGUGAACGCUGGCGGUAGGCCUAACACAUGCAAGUCGAACGGCAGCACAGUAAGAGCUUGCUCUUACGGGUGGCGAGUGGCGGACGGGUGAGGAAUACAUCGGAAUCUACUUUUUCGUGCGUGAUAACGUAGGGACACUUACGCUAAUACCGCAUACGACCUACGGGUGAAAGCAGGGGAUCUUCGGACCUUGCGCGAUUCAAUGAGCCGAUGUCGGAUUAGCUAGUUGGCGGGGUAAAGGCCCACCAAGGCGACGAUCCGUAGCUGGUCUGAGAGGAUGAUCAGUCACACUGGAACUGAGACACGGUCCAGACUCCUACGGGAGGCAGCAGUGGGGAAUAUUGGACAAUGGGCGCAAGCCUGAUCCAGCCAUGCCGCGUGGGUGAAGAAGGUCUUCGGGUUGUAAAGCCCUUUUGUUGGGAAAGAAGAGCAGCAGGUUAAUACCCCGCUGUUCUGACGGUACCAAAAGAAUAAGCACCGGCUAACUUCGUG